UACGAAGGGGGCUAGCGUUGUUCGGAAUUACUGGGCGUAAAGCGCACGUAGGCGGAUCGAUCAGUCAGGGGUGAAAUCCCAGGGCUCAACCCUGGAACUGCCUUUGAUACUGUCGAUCUGGAGUAUGGCAGAGGUGAGUGGAAUUCCGAGUGUAGAGGUGAAAUUCGUAGAUAUUCGGAGGAACACCAGUGGCGAAGGCGGCUCACUGGUCCAUUACUGACGCUGAGGUGCGAAAGCGUGGGGAGCAAACAGG
rnacentral:rRNA from 1 species